GCUGCAUCGUCACCUCUCCUCGCCCAAGCCUUCGUCGACAGAAAGAAAAAAAAAUCCAAACCUCAGAGAAACCCUAGGCCGGGUCGCGGCGAGUCGGCGGCGAUGGCCGGGUACCGGAGCCGGAGCCGGAGCUACAGCCCGCAGCCGCGCCGGAGGUACAGCCGGAGCCCCCCGCGGUACAAGCGGUACGAUGACCCGCGCGACCGCUAUCCUCGCGGCGGAGGUGGAGGUGGAGGUGGAGGCGAAGGGCCCCGCCGCGGGUAUGGCCGGCCGCCUGCGCCGACCGGGCUCCUCGUCCGCAACAUCUCGCUCACCGCAAGGCCUGAAGAUAUUCGUAUUCCGUUUGAGCAAUUUGGCCCUGUAAAGGAUGUCUACCUUCCAAGAAAUUUCCAUACAAGGGAAUUACGUGGCUUUGGGUUUGUAAAAUUCCGCUAUCCAGAAGAUGCUGCAGUGGCCAAGCAAGAAUUGAAUCAUCAAGUUAUUGGUGGACGAGAGAUUUCAAUAGUUUUUGCCGAGGAGAACAGAAAAACCCCACAAGAAAUGCGGAUGAGGACAAGAACAAGUGGAAGAUACAUGGAUGGUAGCCACAGAAGGCGGUCAGUAUCAAGAUCUCCAAGGUCUCGUUACCAUUCUUAUUCACCUUCACCCUCUCCAGCUAGACGUGACUACAGUCAAGAAAGAAUCUAGAGUCUAAAAAGCCAAAAGAGAAUUAUGAUGUUUGGACAAUAAAGAUCAACGUGAAAGUACCACGAUCUCCAGAGUUGGAGCAUGUGAAAGGCAUUCUUCUUUAAGAUAGAGUGGCACUGUUGCCCGGGGUUUAAAGAUAAUCUUUGGCUAAGAAACCUGAGGAAAAGAGUUAUUUUCAAGUGUGCUGAUGCUGUUGAGCUUAGUCCAUUGCACAUUGCAUGUUUGGAUCAAAGUGGGUAACUUAUACUGGGAUUGAACAGGGAUCACCGUGAUGAUUAUUCACCUGGGGAAUCACUCUCUCCACAUGGUCAGGACAAGCGGCACCACAGAUCAAAUGGUCGAUCUGCUAGCCCAGAUGAGCUCGAGCGUCAUGUAUCUCCAUCCAAUAAUGGACAUGGUCCUCCAGUUGAUGGGAAAAGCUGAUAAAGAUCUCGCUCCAAGGCGAGGCAAGCGUUUGAAGUUUGGAGUUCUUGGAUCAAGAGUUGGAAGUUGGAACUAGGGAGCAUGCAAAUUACACCACCAUGAAAUGUACCGUGGUAGUGCCUUUUAUGCUAUUUUGUAGAAUAGAUAAGCAAAGCCUGGUAGCGAAGUAAGUUUGUACACUCCAUAUGCAGUUUGCCUAUCGAUACUUAGGUUAGCGCCUGCUGCUUUUGCUUUUGUUGAUCUGUUUUAAAUGAUUUUCUAUCUGAUCUUUCUUAGUUUGUUUGCUGCCAUGCCGACAUGCAUCUUGUGCCCACUUAUCUAUUUGAUUAUGUUCCAUGGCUUCUACCGUUUUUCUGUUUU